CACAUUUUCAUUCCUGUCCAUCAUUUCAUCUCGCUUACUGUAAUCUGUCCAUUUCAUUUCACUAUAGGUUCUGGCUCAGAGUCUCCAUUGUCUUUGGAGGGUUUUAGUGGACGCUGAAAGAGAGCAACGUGAGAGGAAAACAACGGAGUUUGACAGACGGAAAAAGAGCAAAUCGACAUUCUGCAAAACAUCUCCUCCCUAUGUUUCACAGAUCAUGACGGGAUACAUUGGCCUUAGGAAGUGCGCAGCGAGUGCCAGCAGGCCUUAUCAUCUUAAAAGCAGGAACGGUCUGAUCUCGAUGUUGACCUUGAGUUGAUCUGAGCUGAUGGAUGGAUGGCCUGAUUGGAGAUACUCGUCUCUGCUCUUCAUUUCCCUCGGGCGACGGGAGAGUUGGUCCUACCGUGACCCAACCCUCGAGUCAUGCAGAUGUUUCGAUGACGGUUUGCCAGACACACAUUCGAGGAAAUGUUACGUUUUUAACAGGAUUUAUGGGGUGGUUGGAUCACUAUAAGGACCUGUAGAGAAGAUAAACAGCCAAGACAAAAGAAGUGGCUUCUUCCCGAACUCUUUCUGAGCUGUGUGAGAGUGAUGGUCCGUGUCUGCAGGACUGCAGUGAGGACAGUGUCAGCGUGACUGAUGGCGGCCGCUCGGAGACAGGCUGUGUUGGAGCUAGCGGAGCGUGUAAUGAACGCUAACUCACUCUCAGCGGU